rnacentral:rRNA from 1 species
GAUUAACGCUAGUGGCAGGCAUAAUACAUGCAAGUUGAACGGCAGCACAGGUAGCAAUACUGGGUGGCGAGUGGCGCACGGGUGCGUAACACGUAUGCAACCUACCCUAUACAGGCGAAUAACCUUUAGAAAUGAGGGCUAAUACGCCGUAGUAUUACAGAUGGGCAUCUAUUUGUAAUUAAAGAUUUAUCGGUAUAGGAUGGGCAUGCGUCCCAUUAGUUAGUUGGUAAGGUAACGGCUUACCAAGACGAUGAUGGGUAGGGGAUCUGAGAGGACUUACCCCCACACUGGUACUGAGACACGGACCAGACUCCUACGGGAGGCAGCAGUAAGGAAUAUUGAGCAAUGGCCGCGAGGCUGACCCAGCCAUGCCGCGUGCAGGAAGACGGCCUUAUGGGUUGUAAACUGCUUUUAUACGGGAAUAAUAGAGUGUACGCGUACAUUUAUGCAAGUAUCGUAUGAAUAAGCAUCGGCUAACUCCGUG